rnacentral:rRNA from 1 species
UGCGUAGGCGGUCGGCAAAGUCUGAUGUGAAAUCUCCGGGCUCAACCCGGAAACUGCAUCGGAUACUGGUCGGCUAGAGGAUUGGAGGGGGGACUGGAAUUCUCGGUGUAGCAGUGAAAUGCGUAGAUAUCGAGAGGAACACCAGUGGCGAAGGCGAGUCCCUGGACAAUUCCUGACGCUGAGGCACGAAAGCUAGGGGAGCAAACA